UGACCCAAACCCUCACCAGAGUAGCAAUUGGAGGGCAAGUCUGGUGCCAGCAGCCGCGGUAAUUCCAGCUCCAAUAGCGUAUAUUAAACUUGUUGCAGUUAAAAAGCUCGUAGUUGUAUUUUUGCGUURRCGGUUUGACCAUUUGGUUGGUUAUUUCGUUUUCGCUUUUGGGAAUUUCCCUUUUUACUUUGAGAAAAUUAGAGUGUUUCAAGCAGACUUUUGUCUUGAAUACUUCAGCAUGGAAUAAUAGAGUAGGACUUUGGUUCUAUUUUGUUGGUUAUUGAACCUUAGUAAUGGUUAAUAGGAACGGUUGGGGGCAUUCGUAUUUAACUGUCAGAGGUGAAAUUCUUAGAUUUGUUAAAGACGAACUACUGCGAAAGCAUUUGCCAAGGACGUUUCCAUUAAUCAAGAACGAAAGUUAGGGGAUCGAAGACGAUCAGAUACCGU
rnacentral:rRNA from 1 species